rnacentral:rRNA from 1 species
UGCCUCAUACAUGCAAGUCGAACGCCCCGCAAGGGGAGUGGCGGAAGGGUGAGUAACGCGUAGGAAUCUUCCUUGGAUUGGGGGAUAACCUGAGGAAACUCGGGCUAAUACCGCAUAUUGCCGAGAGGUGAAAGAAUUUUGAUCCAAGAUGAGCCUGCGUAUGAUUAGCUAGUUGGUAGGGUAAUGGCCUACCAAGGCAACGAUCAUUAGCUGGUCUGAGAGGAUGAUCAGCCACAAUGGAACUGAGACACGGUCCAUACUUCUACGGAAGGCAGCAGUAGGGAAUUUUGCGCAAUGGGCGAAAGCCUGACGCAGCAAUGCCGCGUGUAGGAAGGAGCAUCUUGGUGUGUAAACUAC